GAUGAACGCUGGCGGCGUGCCUAAUACAUGCAAGUCGAGCGAACAGACGAGGAGCUUGCUCCUCUGACGUUAGCGGCGGACGGGUGAGUAACACGUGGAUAACCUACCUAUAAGACUGGGAUAACUUCGGGAAACCGGAGCUAAUACCGGAUAAUAUAUUGAACCGCAUGGUUCAAUAGUGAAAGACGGUUUUGCUGUCACUUAUAGAUGGAUCCGCGCCGCAUUAGCUAGUUGGUAAGGUAACGGCUUACCAAGGCAACGAUGCGUAGCCGACCUGAGAGGGUGAUCGGCCAACAUGGGACUGAGACACGGUCCAGACUCCUACGGGAGGCAGCAGUAGGGAAUCUUCCGCAAUGGGCGAAAGCCUGACGGAGCCACGCCGCGUGAGUGAUGAAGGUCUUCGGAUCGUAAAACUCUGUUAUUAGGGAAGAACAAAUGUGUAAGUAACUAUGCACGUCUUGACGGUACCUAAUCAGAAAGCCACGGCUAACUACGUGC
rnacentral:rRNA from 1 species